rnacentral:tRNA from 1 species
AUCCGGAUGGUGGAACUGGUAGACACGCAGGACUUAAAAUCCUGUGGACCUUAAACGUCCGUGUGGGUUCGAUUCCCACUCCGGGUACAA